CCUACGGGUGGCAGCAGUGAGGAAUAUUGGUCAAUGGGCGCGAGCCUGAACCAGCCAAGCAGCGUGAAGGAUGACUGCUCUACGGGUUGUAAACUUCUUUUAUAAAGGAAUAAAGUGAGGCACGUGUGCCUUUUUGUAUGUACUUUAUGAAUAAGGAUCGGCUAACUCUGUGCCAGCAGCCGCGGUAAUACGGAGGACCCGAGCGUUAUGCGGAUUUAUUGGGUUUAAAGGGAGCGUAGAUGGGUUGUUAAGUCAGUUGUGAAAGGUUGCGGCGCAACCGUAAAAUUGCAAUUGAUACUGUCAGCCUUGAGUACAGUUGAGGUAGGCGGAAUUCGUGGUGUAGCGGUGAAAUGCUUAGAUAUCACGAAGAACUCCGAUGGCGAAGGCAGCUUACUAAACUGCCACUGACAUUGAUGCUCGAAAGUGUGGGUAUCAAACAGGAUUAGAUACCCUUGUAGUC
rnacentral:rRNA from 1 species